CGGACGGGUGAGUAACGCGUGGGUAACCUGCCUUGUACAGGGGGAUAACAGUUGGAAACGACUGCUAAUACCGCAUAAGCGCACGGCAUCGCAUGAUGCAGUGUGAAAAACUCCGGCGGUAUAAGAUGGACCCGCGUUGGAUUAGCUAGUUGGUGAGGUAACGGCCCACCAAGGCGACGAUCAGUAGCCGACCUGAGAGGGUGACCGGCCACAUUGGGACUGAGACACGGCCCAA
rnacentral:rRNA from 1 species